GUCGACCUCGCUCUGCCACAACCACCGGCCACCUCUCGCCCCGCUGUUGCGUCCGCGAAGACCGCCGCCGUCCACUACAUCCUCUACGCCAACAAACACGAGCCGGGGAGCACAUCUGCGACCACUACGACUCCAUCUUCCUCCUUCGACCGCCGCCGAUCUCCUCCGAUCCCGGCGUCUUCUUCAUCUGCGACGAGCUCUGCAGCUCCUAAACCUCCCGCCGAGCCUCCGUGUGCUCCUAGGUGAGCACCCCGUCCAUCCCCUUUCCCUUCUGCUCCUCGACGCACGCGUUCGCCCCGGUAUUGUCGUGCUCGCGGAUGCCCCUAUGAGCCGCCGUACCCUGGUCAUGCGCUGCCGCUGCUACCUGCUACUACCUACUGCUGUUGCCUCCUGCGCACGCGCGCUGGCCGUGCCCGGCCCUGCAUCGAGCCGCCCUGCAACCGCGGCCUGCAUCGGCCCCUCGCCCUGCGUUGCUCAGCGGCCCAGGCUCACGCCGUGCAGCGCACCCUGCGCCCAACUCGUGUGCAUGCCGCCGCUGCUAUGCUGAAUCUACUGCUGCUGCUAAUUACUGUAGCUAUGGCUAGCUUUGCGAAUAUUACACGGACUAGCUCCCUUGGCAGCCUCUAAUCAGCAGUUAAACAACUACUAACAGUGGUAAAAAUAAUAUGAGUAGGUAGCCUACUUGACAAACUUCAUUUUACCCCACUGGACCAAAUUCAUUUGAUGCAUGAAAUAAAUCCUAUGAAAAUCACAAAAUGCUCUCUUUUGUUAGCAGAAAACAGAAUUGUGUGUGCUUGUGUGUAUUCUGUGUGUGGUGGCCGGCCGGUUCUCCGUUUGCUAAUUAGUACUCCUACUAGUUAGUCUAAUAAGUGGUUAGGUAUAGUGCAAAUGACAGGUGGACCCCCCCCUCUAAAUAUCCACUUAAAAAGAAAAUGCAUGAUAUGUGUGAAUGACACCUAGGCCCCAUCUACAGUUUUGACCAGUCAACAGUCAAGCAGUUGACUGUUGACUGCCCUGUUGACUGAGUCAACUGGGACCACCAAGACCCACUGUCAGCCUCUAGUGGCCCUGUUGUGUACACUCUGCCGGGUGCACAUAGCAAUUUCACCUUUUAUUCCGAAUUAAUAAUGAUUUCAGGAAUUGUUUAAAUCUUUGAAAAAUCAUAGAAAAUAAUCUGUAACUCGGAUGAAAAACUUUUCUACAUGAAAGUUGCUCAGAACGACGAGACGAAUCCGAACACGCGAUCCGUUCGUCCGCCACACGUCCCUAGCAUAGCAAAUGUUGAACUUUUCCCCUCCGGUUCAUCUAUCUAAUAGACGUCCGGAACCGGGAAAACUUUCUCGGAUGUUUCCCUCUUCGCCAGUAUCACCUAGCACCGCGUUAGAACACGUCUAGCUUUCCCUGUUGUCAUGUUAUGCUCUUGCUUGCUAUGUAUUUACUGUUUCUUCCCCCUCUUCUUCUUCGGUAGACCUCGAGACCGCUGCUGAUGCCCCUGUGAUCGACUAUGUCGACGACGACCCUCCUUGUCUGAGCAACCAGGCAAGCCCUCCCUUUGAUCAUCCCGAUAUCGCCCAUUCUAUAAUCUCAUGCUUGCAUUAGAUUUUGCUACUGUUAUUGUUUGCUCCUAUCCUGAUGCAUAACCUGCUUUUGUACCUGUUAUUGUUACCUACUUGCUUAUCCUAAACUGCUUAGUAUAGGUUGACUAGUGAUCCAUCAGUGACCCCCACUUGUCCUUGUUGCCCCUGCUUCAUCAUCGACGCCUCCAUCGGCGUGAUCGACGACCAGAGCCCGACACCUCACAUCACAUCACGCCCCUUUAGUUGCUCGACUCUGCAGAGCUACUAUCAAGUGCCGAGGGUGAUCCCUCAUAACGCACUCCUGAUGAUAAUUCUGUAGUGUAGCUAUUCGGUCAUGGUCAUCGAGGGUGAUUUCCUCUUACACCAUUCCCGAUACGGCUCUGUCGUUCAACACCUCAAGUGUGAACCUCGAGGGUGGUCCCUCUUACGUUCACCUUGAUGAUUACAUAGAGUGGAAUCCACCGGGGGUGAUUCCUCGGGUUUUCCCCUUGCUGUCUAGACACACAGUUACCUCGACUUUACUUGGGACCUUGGUGAAAGUCGGGCGGGCCCGGAGAGCACCCACAAGAUGGUUACGUGGCACGGCCGGGCAUUCUAGACCCUUGUCGUAAGUCCACGAGACGGGGCGACGGGGUCACUUUCGAUCGUGAGUCUCUGCUCGUCUCCGCAAGCUAAUAAUACACUAUGGUUUGGGUAUUUGUUCUGAGUUGGACUCUGGCCUUUACGCACCAACCACCACGUGAGAAUAGUUAUGGGCCUCGACAUCGCAUUAUCAGCCGAAGCUUUGUCAGACGUCCAGUUCAGUAGUGCGGCACGGCUGGGCCGGCACCAUCCUGUAGUGGUGGAGCCUGGACCCGCCCUGUACGCAACGAUUCGGAGUGCAACGGGCGAUGGGCCCAGACCCCGGAGUGCUUAGGAUGUAGACCGGCGGGGACCUCUCUGCUGAGCCUAGGUAGGGCUGCAACGUGUUGAUCUUCCGAGGCCGGGCAUUGACCCCAAAAAGGUGUGUCCGGCCAACGUGAUCGAGCGUGUUGGCAAACGUGGUGCACCCCCUGCAGGGAAGAUUAUCUAUUAAUAGCCGUGUCCACGGUAACGGACGUUCAGACUUAUAUCCUGAUCUUAUACAACUACGAAUGGAUACUUGGAUAUGUGGCUCCGGGAUUGCUUUCUCGCGGGGAGUCGAGAAAGGAUCUCUGGGCAUUAAUGUUACAACAUGCUUGUUAAUUAUAAACUGCUAUUCUUUACUCUUCUACAUGCUGCAAGAUGCUUGGAGCUGCGUGAAGAUGCUAGUCUUCGAUAGGCUAGGCCUUCCCCCUCUAUUCUAGCAUUCUGCAGUUCAGUCCACAGAUACAAACCUUCCAUUUGAUACCAGUGCAUACUUAGUAUAGAUCUGAUGCUUGCGAGUACUUUGGAUGAGUACUCACGGUUGCUUUGCUACCCCCCUUUUCCCCCUUCUUUCUUCUUUCAGGUUGAUGCAACCAGAUGGUGGAUCCCUGGAGCCAGAUGCCACCGCCGAUGGAUGCUGCUACGUGAAGACCGCCGACGGCCAGGAGUAGUUAGGAGGUCCCAGGCAGGAGGCCUUGCCUCUUCGAUCGUUGUUACUUUUGUGCUAGCCUUCUUAAGGCAUCCUUGUUUAACUUAUGUCUGUACUCAGAUAUUGUUGCUUCCGCUGACUCUUGUGUAUCGAGCUUGUAUUCGAGCCCUCGAGGCCCCUGGCUUGUAAUAUAAAGCUUGUAUUAUUUUAUUUGUGUCUAGAGUUGUGUUGUGAUAUCUUCCCGUGAGUCCCUGAUCUUGAUCGUACACAUUUGCUUGUAUGAUUAGUGUACAAUUGAAUCCGGGGUGUCACAAGUUGGUAUCAGAGCCGAUUUCCUGUAGGAUCCCCCUUUCCAACUCCUUGGCCGAAGUUGAGUCUAGUCUUUGAAAAACUGAUUUACUAACAUGGUUGUGUGGCUUACGAGCCCACGUCGCCAAUUGGGUGGUAUUAGGAUCUUUUAUUCCUCGUCUAUACUCUGGGACUCGGAUCUCUCUUCUAUUCGGGUUAAAUAAUUUUGUUAACUCUAACUCUAGGAUCUCGUAAAUACUUCCUCCCGGAGAGCCCUUCACUCCAUAUGAUGGCUUGGUGCACCAGAAGAUUCUGAAGAUACUCUCCGAUACUUUUCCGAGACCCUUGUACCCUUUGUCAUUGCAAUCCGUACCACCGAUAAAUCCUUAUGCGUAACUACCUAUGUUGUCGUUCAUACCUUCAUCCCUUGUUGCUCUUGUUAUUACAAGAUGUCCUGAAAAAUCCUUCGAUGUUCCGAGAAUUCUUUAUGUUUACUGCCCUGCAGUUCCUUGCCACAUGAAUACCCCUACGGAUAAUUACUCGUGCUUGCCGAGUAUCCGUUCAUCCACAGUUGUUCAUGUGAUUCACAAGAUAAUUUGGAAUACCAUCCGACCUUCCGAUAAUCCUCUCCAACUAUUGAUGUGCUAAUAUUUAUCUGCUUGCAUUAUGGUUACUUCCAGUUGUCUAGCAAUACUCAUUAGCAUCCUUUGUCAUCGUAAUAUUGAGCAUUUGAUUCAAUUCGUUUGCGAAUUCUCAUGAUCAUUAGUCCUAUUUAAAAUUCUCCCCUUGGUUCAGACGUCACUCCGGACAUGAGCUGGUGUUCGGCGAAUCAAUCCUUGAUUGAUUAUCGAUCUAUGUCUAUUCUACUUACUUGUCUUGGAUUAGAGCCUCUGCAUCUGAUCCCCCAUUUUGGAAAUAUUCCUUUGCAUUUGAUUUUUGAAUUAGUCAGUUGUUUAUAUAACCUGACCUCUUGCAUUCUUUCUUCUUUUGUUUGAGUACCGAUACUCACAUCAGAUCCAUUGUGGACCUCUAGGUCCUUUGUUGGGUUUUAUCUUACAACGUCCUUCUUAUUCAGUAACCUUGUGAGCCUUUCCCCGGAUACAUAAUGCCUUUGAUAAAUUGUAUCCCCUGCUUUUGUCAACCAUGCUCUGCUUCCGAGCUUGAGUUAUUUAUUCCUAAAGUUUGUGGAAUUUGUUCCUAAGAUGCCCCGAUGGGUUGACUCUAUGUCUUCCCUAAAUCUGGGUGAACUCGAAAGUUAUGCAGGUUAUACUCUAUUGGCUUUUCGCCAGGUAAAAUUUCAAUGCUACAACUUCUUCGAAUGCGAGAAGUGAAUGGAAAGUUGUACAUUAGAGAAGUGGGAGUCGACCUUGAACUUUUGUGUUCAUGCCCAUGGACCCGAUGUGGAACUUAUCAUGGAAGCUUCUUGUUAUAAUAAUAAUCCCCUUGUGAUAAGUUCAUAUGUUAUCUAUAUUUGGUCCUUUCCAACUGUGGUUUCGACCAUAUUGUUCUUAUUUGAUCCCAUUUCUCGGACAAGUUAAAGUACUUGUCUUCUUCAGAUCAUUUCACCUGUCCAACCUCUACUUUGAUCUACCUCCGAGUAUUACCCUAUAGUAUCUCGAGAAUAUCACGAAACUACAUAACCCCUUAUGAGUUCUUCAUCAACUAUUAUUUCUCGCUGAUUCCAAUUUUCCACGGGUUCUGAGUUGUUAGACACUCGAGAAUACCGAUAACCGAUUCGAGUCUAUACUUUCCUUUCCAUUGUUUCGUUUAAACUUUCUUGUAACCUAAAAUAUCUGAGCAGUGGUAUUUCCCUGCUUAUGUGAACACCUCGGUGUACAAACUCUGUCAGAAAGACCUUGUUGCUAUUGUUGAUGACAUUCCGGUAGCCACCGAUGGACGAGAACUUUGCCUAUUGGUCCGCCUCGCCUUGCGAGUAGGAAAAUGGUUCUCUUCGUCCCUCGCCCUUCGUACCAACAUUGUUGCCAACUUAAUUGAUAGGCUAUCCACUGACCUGCCUUGCUAUUAUGACCGUGCAAAAUGAUUUGCGCCUUCCUUCUUUUAACCCACAUGGUGGGCCCAUAACCCACAAUUUCACAGGAUCGAAACCUGACUCUCCUGUACAACCUUAACUCUGAAAUAUUCUUUGCACUUGGCUUCGUAUGUAAAUCACAAGCCACCUUCCUAGUGAUCAUUCUGGUAUCAGAGGAAAUACUUAUUCCCAUUGCUCUGGACCCCUUUCACCCUCGGUUUCAGGCAACGAACGAUUGCCUACCCGGUUGAACCUUCUUAUUGCACCUUCUUACCUUGCUCUCAAUAAAUUUCUUAAAUUUCAACUCGAGAGAUGCCUCUAUGCCACGUUCAGUGAGAUAGCCCUCAGGUACCUAUCUUGUGAUGAGCUCCGUCCUUCUCUAGUCUUUCCCCCUUACAUCACCACUUAAAUCUCGAGACGAGAUUUCUUGUAGUGGAGGAGAAUUGUGACGCCCGGAUAAUUAAGCUACAGUAAUCCCAAGUUAAUAGUGCCACAUCACCACUCUUACUGUUGCUAAUCCCCGGUUGAUCUAAAUCGCAAUUCAAAUUCAAAUUAAAGUCCAAAACUUGAAGUUUUCAAACAUGAAAGCUGAAAUGUUCAAACUGUGGAAAAUAAUCUCUGGUUAUUUGUCUUGUUGAAACCAACCUCUUUUGAAUUCAUAAAAUGCCCCUGAAAUUUAUUUGUGGUCCAACAACCAGUUAUUUGACCUUUUCAAUUUCAAAAAAAAUAGUUGAACACCCCCCCAGAUGCAUUGAAGCUUUUUGUAACAAGCCAGGAUAUUGCACUUUAUUUUUGUGCCAAGUUUUAUAUUAAAGAAAACUCUUUAAGUAGCUCAAAUAUAAUGCAAAGUAGGAAAGGUAUAAAUAAAUGAAAAAGAAACUACAAACAAUUGGAAAGAAGACAGAGGCCCCGCAACCCCAUAUCCCCUGGGCCUUGAACCAACGGGUCCAGCCGGCCCACUCUAACCCCUCGCCCCUGUUUCCUGUAUCUCGGGCGCGUCCGACCGAGCGCCCGCUCGCGCUCGUCCCCGUCGAACCCCUUCACCGGCGAUGGCCAGGAGGAUAAGGCCUCCACCGAGGCACCCCCCAUAGAUAUUUUCUUCCCCUGCCUCCGCCCACUUCCACAUGCCCCGGCGCUCUCCACUCACCUCGCUCUCUCCCUCCUCACUGAUUCCCCAUCUACCGAGCGCGACCGUCACCGACCACCACGCUUCGUCGCGGCCACCGGCAUUUCUGCGCCCGCAGCUCGUGUCCACGAGCACAGCCUCGUUUGUCUCUGUCGACUGGAGCCGUCCAUUUGAGCCGGGCGAUGCCAUUGUGCGCAGAUCGAGCCGGUCUUGUCUUUUGCAUCACCAGCAAUCGCCGUCGACCUCGCUCUGCCACAACCACCGGCCACCUCUCGCCCCGCUGUUGCGUCCGCGAAGACCGCCGCCGUCCACUACAUCCUCUACGCCAACAAACACGAGCCGGGGAGCACAUAUGCGACCACUACGAUUCCAUCUUCCUCCUUCGACCGCCGCCGAUCUCCUCCGAUCCCGGCGUCUUCUUCGUCUGCGACGAGCUCUGCAGCUCCUAAACCUCCCGCCGAGCCUCUGUGUGCUCCUAGGUGAGCACCCCGUCCAUCCCCUUUCCCUUCUGCUCCUCGACGCACGCGUCCGCCCCGGCGUUGUCGCGCUCCCGGAUGCCCCUGUGAGCUGCCGUACCCUGGUCAUGCGCUUCCGCUGCUACCUGCUACUACCUACUGCUGUUGCCUCCUGCGCACGCGCGCUGGCCGCGCCCGGCCCUGCAUCGAGCCGCCCUGCAACCGCGGCCUGCAUCGGCCCCUCGCCCUGCGUCGCUCAGCGGCCCAGGCUCACGCCGUGCAGCGCCGCACCCUGCGCCCAACUCGUGUGCAUGCCGCCGCUGCUAUGCUGAAUCUACUGCUGCUGCUAAUUACAGUAGCUAUGGCUAGCUUUGCGAAUAUUACACGGACUAGCUCCCUUGAUAGCCUCUAAUCAGCAGUUAAACAACUACUAACAGUGGUAAAAAUAAUAUGAGUAGGUAGCCUACUUGACAAACUUCAUUUUACCCCACUGGACCAAAUUCAUUUGAUGCAUGAAAUAAAUCCUAUGAAAAUCACAAAAUGCUAUCUUUUGUUAGCAGAAAACAGAACUGUGUGUGCGUGUGUGUAUUCUGUGUGUGGUGGCCGGCCGGUUCUCCGUUUGCUAAUUAGUACUCCUACUAGUUAGUCUAAUAAGUGGUUAGGUAUAGUGCAAAUGACAGGUGGACCCCCCCUCUAAAUAUUCACUUAAAAAGAAAAUGCAUGAUAUGUGUGAAUGACACCUAUGCCCCAUCUACAGUUUUGACCAGUCAAUAGUCAAGCAGUUGACUGUUGACUGCCCUGUUGAUUGAGUCAACUGGGACCACCAAGACCCACUGUCAGCCUCUAGUGGCCCUGCUGUGUACACUGUGCCGGGUGCACAUAGCAAUUUCAUCUUUUAUUCCGAAUUAAUAAUGAUUUCAGGAAUUGUUUAAAUCUUUGAAAAAUCAUAGAAAAUAAUCCGUAACUCGGAUGAAAAACUUUUCUACAUGAAAGUUGCUCAGAACGAUGAGAUGAAUCCGAACACGCGAUCCGUUCGUCCGCCACACGUCCCUAGCAUAGCAAACGUUGAACUUUUCCCCUCCGGUUCAUCUAUCUAAUAGACGUCCGGAACCGGGAAAACUUUCCCGGAUGUUUCCCCCUUCGCCAGUAUCACCUAGCACCGCGUUAGAACACGUCUAGCUUUCCCUGUUGUCAUGUUAUGCUCUUGCUUGCUUUGUAUUUACUGUUUCUUCCCCCUCUUCUUCUUCGGUAGACCUCGAGACCGCUGCUGAUGCCCCUGUGAUCGACUACGUCGACGACGACCCUCCUUGUCUGAGCAACCAGGCAAGCCCUCCCUUUGAUCAUCCCGAUAUCGCCCAUUCUAUACUCUCAUGCUUGCAUUAGAUUUUGCUACUGUUAUUGUUUGCUCCUAUCCUGAUGCAUAACCUGCUUUUGUACCUGUUAUUCUUACCUACUUGCUUAUCCUAAACUGCUUAGUAUAGGUUGACUAGUGAUCCAUCAGUGACCUCCACUUGUCCUUGUCGCCCCUGCUUCAUCAUCGACGCCUCCAUCGACGUGAUCGACGACCAGAGCCCGACACCUCACAUCACAUCACGCCCCUUUAGUUGCUCGACUCUGCAGAGCUACUAUCGAGUGCCGAGGGUGAUCCCUCAUAACGCACUCCUGAUGAUAAUUCUGUAGUGUAGCUAUUCGGUCGUGGUCAUCGAGGGUGAUUUCCUCUUUCACCAUUCCCGAUACGGCUCUGUCGUUCAACACCUCAAGUGUGAACCUCGAUGGUGGUCCCUCUUACGUUCACCUUGAUGAUUACAUUGAGUGGAAUCCACCGGGGGUGAUUCCUCGGGUUUUCCCCUUGAUGUCUAGACACACAGUUACCUCGACUUUACUUGGGACCUUGGUGAAAGUCGGGCGGGCCCGGAGAGCACCCGAAAGAUGGUUACGUGGCACAGCCGGGCAUUCUAGGCCCUUGUCGUAAGUCCACGAGACGGGGCGACGGGGUCACUUUCGAUCGUGAGUCUCUGCUCGUCUCCGCAAGCUAAUAAUACACUAUGGUUUGGGUAUUUGUUCUGAGUUGGCCUCUGGCCUUUACGCACCAACCACCACGUGAGAAUAGUUAUGAGCCUCGACGUCGCAUUAUCAGCCGAAGCUUUGUCAGACGUCCAGUUCAGCAGUGCGGCAUGGCUGGGUCGGCACCAUCGUGUAGUGGUGGAGCCUGGACCCGCCCUGUACGCAAUGAUUCGGAGUGCAACGGGCGAUGGGCCCAGACCCCGGAGUGCUUAGGAUGUAGACCGGCGGGGACCUCUCUGCUGAGCCUAGGUAGGGCUGCAACGUGUUGAUCUUCCGAGGCCGGGCAUUGACCCCAAAAAGGUGUGUCCGGCCAACGUGAUCGAGCGUGUUGGCAAACGUGGUGCACCCCCUGCAGGGAAGAUUAUCUAUUAAUAGCCGUGUCCAUGGUAACGGACGUUCAGACUUAUAUCCUAAUCUUAUACAACUACGAACGGAUACUUGGAUAUGUGGCUCCGGGAUUGCUUUCUCGCGGGGAGUCGAGAAAGGAUCUCUGGGCAUUAAUGUUACAACAUGCUUGUUAAUUAUAAACUGCUAUUCUUUACUCUUCUACAUGCUGCAAGAUGCUCGGAGUUGCGUGAAGAUGCUAGUCUUCGAUAGGCUAGGCCUUCCCCCUCUAUUCUGGCAUUCUGCAGUUCAGUCCACAGAUACAAACCUUCCAUUUGAUACCAGUGCAUACUUAGUAUAGAUCUGAUGCUUGCGAGUACUUUGGAUGAGUACUCACGGUUGCUUUGCUACCCCCCCCCUUCCCGCUUCUUUCUUCUUUCCGGUUGAUGCAACCAGAUGGUGGAUCCCUGGAGCCAGAUGCCACCGCCGAUGGAUGCUGCUACGUGAAGACCGCCGACGGCAGGAGUAGUUAGGAGGUCCCAGGCAGGAGGCCUUGGCUCUUCGAUCGUUGUUGCUUUUGUGCUAGCCUUCUUAAGGCAUCCUUGUUUAACUUAUGUCUGUACUCAGAUAUUGUUGCUUCUGCUGACUCUUGUGUAUCGAGCUUGUAUUCGAUCCCUCGAGGCCCCUGGCUUGUAAUAUAAAGCUUGUAUUAU
rnacentral:lncRNA from 1 species